AUAUUAAAUACAAACGAAAGAAAAAGAUUUACAAAGUAAUCGGACUGACAGAAGCAUCAAAGAUGGCUAUGGGCCGGCAUCGUGGUCGCGGAAAAGUCUAUGUGAUGAGGGGGAGAGGAAAUACCUUCAAAGUUGGAAGCUCAAGAAAACCUAGACGACGACAUAAACAAAUAAGGAGAACAAGACCAAGCACAACAUUGGAAAGGUCGUUCUCAGCCUGGGAAAUGAACGGGGCUGAGUCAGCAGCCCACGAAACUUUGCUCAGAAAGGGAUUCAAGAGGGUAAAAAAGGGACCAACAGAAUGGAUGAAGAAAAAGUCGUCAGUCUCUUGGGCAAAUACGGAGAAAAUUGUUCGAAAUUCGGUUUAUCGACACAACCGAAAAAUGAAG